GAUGAACGCUGGCGGCGUGCCUAACACAUGCAAGUCGAGCGGACCAAUGCCCAUUUCAGCUUUGCUGAUUUGAGCAACGGUUAGCGGCGGACGGGUGAGUAACGCGUGGGCAACCUGCCCUGUGCAGGGGGAUAACACAGCGAAAGCUGUGCUAAUACCCCAUAAGACUACGCUAUCGCAUGAUAGAGUAGUCAAAGCUUUAGCGGCACAGGAUGGGCCCGCGUCUGAUUAGCUAGUUGGUGGGGUAACGGCCUACCAAGGCGACGAUCAGUAGCCGACCUGAGAGGGUGAUCGGCCACACUGGAACUGAGACACGGUCCAGACUCCUACGGGAGGCAGCAGUGGGGAAUAUUGCACAAUGGGGGAAACCCUGAUGCAGCAACGCCGCGUGAGCGAAGAAGGCCUUCGGGUCGUAAAGCUCUGUCCUAAGGGAAGAAGCAUGACGGUACCUUAGGAGGAAGCCCCGGCUAACUACGUGCCAGCAGCCGCGGUAAUACGUAGGGGGCGAGCGUUAUCCGGAAUCACUGGGCGUAAAGGGUGCGUAGGCGGCCGAGUAAGCCAGGGGUGAAAGGCUACGGCUUAACCGUAGUAAGCCUUUGGAACUACUUGGCUUGAGUGCAGGAGAGGAGAGUGGAAUUCCUAGUGUAGCGGUGAAAUGCGUAGAUAUUAGGAGGAACACCAGUGGCGAAGGCGACUCUCUGGACUGUAACUGACGCUGAGGCACGAAAGCGUGGGGAGCAAACAGGAUUAGAUACCCUGGUAGUCCACGCCGUAAACGAUGAGUGCUAGGUGUCGGGGGUUCACACCCUCGGUGCCGGAGUUAACGCAAUAAGCACUCCGCCUGGGGAG
rnacentral:rRNA from 1 species